rnacentral:rRNA from 1 species
AAUAGAUACCCCGGUAGUCCACGCCGUAAACGAUGGAUACUAGCUGUUUGAGCGCAAGUUUGAGUGGCUAAGCGAAAGUGAUAAGUAUCCCACCCGGGGAGUACGGGCGCAAGCCUGAAACUCAAAGGAAUUGACGGGGGCCCGCACAAGCGGUGGAGCAUGUGGUUUAAUUCGAUGAUACGCGAGGAACCUUACCAGGGCUUAAAUGUAGAUUGACGUAUUUGGAAACAGAUAUUUCUUCGGACAAUUUACAAGGUGCUGCAUGGUUGUCGUCAGCUCGUGCCGUGAGGUGUCAGGUUAAGUCCUAUAACGAGCGCAACCCCUGUUGUUAGUUGCCAGCGAGUAAUGUCGGGAACUCUAGCAAGACUGCCAGUGUAAACUGUGAGGAAGGUGGGGAUGACGUCAAAUUAUCACGGCCCUUACGUCCUGGGCCACACACGUGCUACAAUGGCCGGUACAGAGAGCAGCCACUUAGCGAUAAGGAGCGAAUCUAUAAAGCCGGUNACAGUUCGGAUCGGAGU